rnacentral:piRNA from 1 species
UUGGCUAUUUUUGUGAAC